UACGUAGGGCGCAAGCGUUGUCCGGAAUUAUUGGGCGUAAAGAGCUCGUAGGCGGCCUGUCGCGUCUGCUGUGAAAUCCCGGGGCUUAACCCCGGGCGUGCAGUGGAUACGGGCUGGCUGGAGGCAGGCAGGGGAGAACGGAAUUCCCGGUGUAGCGGUGAAAUGCGCAGAUAUCAGGAGGAACACCGGUGGCGAAGGCGGCGAUCUGGGUAGAUACUGACGCUGAGGUGCGAAAGCGUGGGGAGCAAACAGG
rnacentral:rRNA from 1 species